rnacentral:rRNA from 1 species
UAGGACUCCCUCAGUAAUGGCGAAUGAACAGGGAUGAGCUCAACAUGGAAAUUGUGGCUUCUGGCUAUGAAUUGUAAUUUCAAGAUGUAUCGCUAACGAGGGCGUAGGUGUAAGCCUCUUGGAAAAGAGCAUCAGCGAGGGUGAGAAUCCUGUUUGUCACCUACAGCCCCUCGUGUUCGGCAUACGAUCUUAGAGUCACGUUCCUCGGGAUUGGAGCGCAAAUUGGGUGGUAAAUUUCAUCUCAAGCUAAAUAUGGGUUCGAAACCGAUAGCAAACAAGUACCAUGAGGGAAAGAUGAAAAGGACUUUGAAAAGAGAGUUAAAAGUGCCUGAACUUGCUGAAAGGAAAGCGGAUGGAACCACCUCUGCUUGGCGAGAUUGUUGUGCGCCUCAGUGACUGCUCAUCGGGCGAGCGCAAGCAGCUCGGCGGGUCUCGAUCUGGCAGCGCGCGAUGCUUCUUGCCUUGUGCGCCACUGACUGUGUGUAGGCGAGGAUACCUCUGGGGACAUGGUAGCGAGCCUUCGGGGUCGUGAACGUGCCCAGUAGCACUCGCCCGCGCACGGUUCUAUCGCCUCAGACUGUGCUGCUCUCACGCGGGCGCGCGCGCACGCGCGCGGUCGCGCGAGGCACCUUUCUGAUGCUUCCCUAGUGGCGAAAUGGUUCCAUUCGACCCGUCUUGAAACACGGACCAAGGAGUCUAACAUAUGUGCGAGUUCUUGGGUGUCAAGCCUACGUGCGCAAUGAAAGUGAGUACUGAGAUGUUCGCAUCAGCAGCCGACCGAUCGAUUGGGAGAGGUUUGAGCAUGAGCAUAUCUGUUAGGACCCGAAAGAUGGUGAACUAUGCCUGAGAAGGGCAAAGUCUGGGGAAACUCAGAUGGAGGCUCGUAGCGAUACUGACGUGCAAAUCGUUCGUCAUACUUGGGUAUAGGGGCGAAAGACUAAUCGAACCAUCUAGUAGCUGGUUCCCUCCGAAGUUUCCCUCAGGAUAGCUGGAGUUGAAUAGUUUUAUCAGGUAAAGCGAAUGAUUAGAGGAAUCGGGGGCGCGUUGCCCUCGACCUAUUCUCAAACUUUAAAUGGGUAAGAUCCAGUUGUUACUUCGUUGAACUUCUGGGACAAAUUGCGACUCUAAGUGGGCCAUUUUUGGUAAGCAGAACUGGCGAUGAGGGAUGAACCUAACGUUGGGAUAAGGUGCUUAACUGCUCGCUCAUCAGAUACCAUAAAGGGUGUUGGUUCAUUUUAACAGCAGGACGGUGGUCAUGGAAGUCGAAAUCCGCUAAGGAGUGUGUAACAACUCACCUGCCGAAUA